rnacentral:rRNA from 1 species
CGUGCAGGCGGUUUGGUAAGUUGGAUGUUAAAGCUCCCGGCUCAACUGGGAGAGGCCGUUCAAUACUGCCAGGCCAGAGGACGGUAGAGGGAGGUGGAAUUCCCGGUGUAGUGGUGAAAUGCGUAGAUAUCGGGAGGAACACCAGUGGCGAAAGCGGCCUCCUGGGCCGAUCCUGACGCUAAGACGCGAAAGCAUGGGUAGCAAACG